AUUUUUUUUUUUUUUUUUUGCAAAUGGAUCCACCGCAGACUGGCGGAGUUUCGAGGACAGCAAUGAGCUUGUAAGGCCCACAAGCUGGAGAUUGCCGGGACUUGGCGUUGCGUGCGCGCGCGACCUAAGAUGGUUUUAUGCAGUUUUUAAUUUUAUUUUCGUAAAGUCUCCAUAGGAGACUCGGCACCUGUGUUCUCGCUAUGAUGAAGGCUAUGUUGGUAGGGACAACUGACCUUGUUGAUGAAUACCAACGACUCUGAUGGCGGAGCAUGCUGAGUCACCGCGAGAGGCCUUUUGUACUGGUUGUGGUUUUAUUUUUUUCUAUUGUGUGGAUGAGGAAGACCACCAUGAUUUUUAGAGAUCACCAUGAGGUUGAUGGCGUUCGUUAACAACCGCCUCAAAGUAGGCCCUGGUGAGUGGCCACUAACAAAGCCUCCAGUGGAGUCUUAGGAAUGGUGUUGUGGAACUCUCAGGGGCUCUUGGUGGCAUCACGCACACAGUUCUGGGACAAAGCUGGAUGAAGAGUGAGGACCAAUAGAAGCUGGAUUAACCAUGGGUGUGCAGGGUGCUGUGACCACAAACAAGAUGAAAUGUGUGUGAAUUGUCUGGACAACUUUUAAAGUAUGAGUAUUUUGCCUACAUAACAGAAGAGGGCAAUCAGAUCCCAUUGUAUAGAUGGUUGUGAGCCACCAUAUGGCUACUGGGAAUUGAGCAUCAGAAGAGCAACCAGUGGUCCAGACUGACCCUGUAAAUGAAGGUGUGCAUGGCUCCCCUUGACUGAAGGCAGGCACUGGGCAACCUUGUACCAGAAAGAUCAUUCAACCUGAAUUUUAAGGGCUCCUGUGGCAGAAGUGGGCAUGCAAUUUCACUGUGAAUUUCACCUUACUAUUUAAAAGGUGGCUGGAUGGAUGCUCAGAUCAUACUUCGGGUUUCCAAUUAUGAGAAUUUACCAUCAAAAUAAAUAGAAUGUGGAAUUAAAUACAAAGUGUUCGUUUUAUUCUCUAAUGCUUAGAACCAAGUCCAUUGAGCAUGUUUUGUGUGGAGUAUUAUCCAGAGAAAACUGCUCAGGCAUGGAUUUACAUGAAUAAAUAGGUCUCAGCUGGCUAGCCAACUACCCUCAA